CCUCGGAGAGUUUGAUCCUGGCUCAGGACGAACGCUGGCGGCGUGCCUAAUACAUGCAAGUCGAGCGGACAGAAGGGAGCUUGCUCCCGGAUGUUAGCGGCGGACGGGUGAGUAACACGUGGGUAACCUGCCUGUAAGACUGGGAUAACUCCGGGAAACCGGAGCUAAUACCGGAUAGUUCCUUGAACCGCAUGG
rnacentral:rRNA from 1 species